AGAGUUUGAUCAUGGCUCAGGAUGAACGCUGGCGGCGUGCUUAACACAUGCAAGUCGAACGGAGAGCGUAUGACAGAGGAUUCGUCCAAUGGAAUACGUUUCUUAGUGGCGGACGGGUGAGUAACGCGUGAGGAACCUGCCUCGGAGUGGGGAAUAACAGCCCGAAAGGGUUGCUAAUACCGCAUGAUGCAGUUGGGCCGCAUGGCUCUGACUGCCAAAGAUUUAUCGCUCUGAGAUGGCCUCGCGUCUGAUUAGCUGGUUGGCGGGGUAACGGCCCACCAAGGCGACGAUCAGUAGCCGG
rnacentral:rRNA from 1 species